UACGUAGGCAGCGAGCGUUGUUCGGAGUUACUGGGCGUAAAGGGUGUGUAGGCGGUUUUCUAAGUUUGGUGUGAAAUCUCCCGGCCCAACCGGGAGGGUGCGCCGAAAACUGGGAGACUAGAGUGCGGGAUGGGAGAGUAGAAUUCCUGGUGUAGCGGUGAAAUGCGUAGAUAUCAGGAGGAAUACCGGUGGUGUAGACGGCUCUCUGGACCGCCACUGACGCUGAGACACGAAAGCGUGGGUAGCAAACAGG
rnacentral:rRNA from 1 species